AGAGUUUGAUCCUGGCUCAGAUUGAACGCUAGCGGGAUGCUUUACACAUGCAAGUCGAACGGCAGCGCGAAGAAAGCUUGCUUUCUUUGGCGGCGAGUGGCGGACGGGUGAGUAACGCAUCGGAAUGUGCCCAGUAGCGGGGGAUAACUACUCGAAAGAGUGGCUAAUACCGCAUAUUCUCUACGGAGGAAAGAGGGGGACCUUAGGGCCUCUCACUACUGGAGCAGCCGAGGUAAGAUUAGCUAGUUGGUGGGGUAAAGGCCUACCAAGGCAACGAUCUGUAGCUGGUUUGAGAGGACGACCAGCCACACUGGGACUGAGACACGGCCCAGACUCCUACGGGAGGCAGCAGUGGGGAAUUUUGGACAAUGGGCGAAAGCCUGAUCCAGCAAUGCCGCGUGCAGGAUGAAGGCCUUCGGGUUGUA
rnacentral:rRNA from 1 species